AUUUGUCAGCUUUGAGAAUAAUAUUCAAUUCAUGAAGUUUUAUUAAGCAAUUUUCUAGUUUUAACGGGAUUCACUAAUAGGAUUUACUAAUAUCCUUGAUUCCAGAAUAUCGUCAGUUACUACUUUGUUUAAGCUCCGAUAUCUCACUUGUUUGUUUCAAGCCGACUGCGAAAGAUGACUAAUGCCCUUGUCGUUUCUCCAAAAUUAGCCCACUGAAGAACUGCCGACACAAAGAAGACCCAUAAUAGGUCCUUCGUAUUUGUUACAAUUGACUGCUUUUGAAAAAGGUCACGCACUCUCGUUUACAGAAGGAUCAAUAAUUCAAAUUGCAAAUCCAAGUUAGUUCGAUUUGGGGGAUUUUAGUUGAAGGGAAUGGAUUUGUUUUAUUAAAAUUCCCGAGUAUCAUGAUUUAAUUUCCCAGACCCUGUCUUAUUCAUGUUCGAGCGAAAACACGCACUUGUUUGAAUUUGUGAGCGAGAGAGACACUUAAGCGCUGUCCGGUCAACUCCAAAACAGUUUCAAUGAAAAUUCCUAGAAUUUAUUCUCUGGAAUAGACAGAAAUUAUCCGAAAAAUUUAUUUCCACAAUAAAAAAAAAAAGAAAAAGGUGAGUUUACACUCCAACCGUUCCCGUUGGAGUGUAAACUAAAUAAAGUGUAAUAUACACUUUAUUUUCUUCUCCAACUUUAGA